UACAGAGGGUGCAAGCGUUAAUCGGAAUUACUGGGCGUAAAGCGUGCGUAGACGGUCAUGUAAGUCGGGUGUGAAAGCCCCGGGCUCAACCUGGGAAUUGCAUUCGAGACUGCAUGGCUAGGGUGCGGAAGAGGGAAGCGGAAUUUCCGGUGUAGCGGUGAAAUGCGUAGAUAUCGGAAGGAACACCAGUGGCGAAAAGCGGCUUCCCUGGUCCAGCACCGGAACGUCAGGCACGAAAGCGUGGGGAGC
rnacentral:rRNA from 1 species